rnacentral:tRNA from 1 species
GGGGAUGUGGCUCAGUGGUAGAGUUCUUGCCUUGCAUGCCCAAGGCCCUGGGUUCAAUCCCCAACAGCACCA